rnacentral:rRNA from 1 species
AUUGAACGCUGGCGGCAGGCCUAACACAUGCAAGUCGGGCGAGCGGCGCACGGGUGAGUAAUGUAUGGGUAUCUGCCUGAUAGAGGGGGAUAACUACUGGAAACUGUAUCUAAUACCACAUACCAUCAUAUGAACACAUAUGGGAUUAGCUUGUAUGUGAGGUAACGGCUCACCUAGGCGACGAUCCCUAGCUGGUCUGAGAGGAUGAUCAGCCACACUGUGACUGAGACACGGCCCAGACUCCUACGGGAGGCAGCAGUGGGGAAUAUUGCACAAUGGGCGCAAGCCUGAUGCAGCCAUGCCGCGUGUAUGAAGAAGGCCUUAGGGUUGUAAAGUACUUUCAGUCGGGAGGCGUUACUCGCAGAAGAAGCACCGGCUAACUCCGUGCCAGCAGCCGCGGUAAUAC